UAGUCCACGCCCUAAACGAUGAAUACUAGAUGUCGGGGAAGUCAACGCUCCGGCGUCGCAGUUAACGCAUUAAGUAUUCCGCCUGGGGAGUACGCUCGCAAGGGUGAAACUCAAAGGAAUUGACGGGGGCCCGCACAAGCGGUGGAGUAUGUGGUUUAAUUCGAAGCAACGCGCAGAACCUUACCAGGACUUGACAUGGGAGUGACCGUACGGGAAAUCGUAUUUCUCUAGCAAUAGAGCACUCCACACAGGUGCUGCAUGGCUGUCGUCAGCUCGUGUCGUGAGAUGUUGGGUUAAGUCCCGCAACGAGCGCAACCCUCGUCCUUAGUUGCCAUCAUUUAGUUGGGCACUCUAAGGAGACUGCCGCGAACAACGCGGAGGAAGGUGGGGAUGACGUCAAGUCCUCAUGGCCCUUACGUCCUGGGGCUACACACGUGCUACAAUGGGGUACUACAAUGGGUUGCUAGACCGCGAGGGUGGGAGCCAAU
rnacentral:rRNA from 1 species